GGUUGCACAGCUGCUCAACAUUCAAUAAAUGUUUCAGUAAAAAUUAAGACAGACCUGAACUGAACAAUUAAAUGUAAUCAAAAUCAUUAGCUAAUAAUGUAUUUAUCAAGUUAGUGAAAUGAAAAUUCAAAUAAUUAAGUUCACUCAUCGUUUUUUUAUCUCCCUUCAAAUGUUUCAACAUUUUACUUUCAAAGAGUUGAAGGAGAAGAUCGUCAGAGUGAAGAUGGAUAAUACAUGCUUUCAACACAACCCUUUUUACUUGAAAUGCUUACUAAAUGGUUUACUAACUGUAAUAUAAGGUAAAAAGAUUGAACUCAAUUAAUUCAUCCAUGACCAAUGAAAGGUGUAAAACGAAGGCCAUUACAAUCCAUUUUCCUAUUACAAUUGCAACCUUUUAACCAUCAGAUACAUUGUCAUUACAGGUAAAGUUCAAAGUUGUAAAAACCUUAACCUUCAAUAUAAGAAUCAAGCAAACAUUGAAUUUUAAUAAUCAUUUUACAUGUCAUUAAUUGUCUUGAAACAAUCUUACAACAGGUUUGUCUGCAAUCUGUAAAUGACGUUAACCAAUAUUUACUAUCUUAUUAAAAGUUCAUAUUUUUCAUGCUAAUUUUGCCUCACAGGCAACAUUGACUUUUACAAUUAUCAUUAAACAAUGAACAAAAAAAUCAACUGAUUAGAAAACCAGUUUUCUUUGUUGCUUUUAAACAUAAAUUCAAUCAACCAAACCAGAAACCAGAAUUGUAAAACCAUUAACACUUGGUUAAAAUGUCAUAAUAUGUUUUUAAUGGACCUCAGAUGCUGAUUAAUCAAAGGCAAACAAUUAGGAAACUGGUUAAGUUUGACUUUUGAGUUAUGGCUGGUUAUGUUUUUUUUCUGGUUUUGUUUUUUUCUGGUUUUUAUCUUCAACUCUUGGGUUAACCAAAUAACCAGGCAAUCAGUUUUCCUGGUGUUGACUCAAUUUUUAAUUAACUAUUUUUUUUGUAUUUUUAUUCAACAAUUAACAUGACCUUGUUAAUCAUGAUCAACAUGUUUAUUGGUUUAAAAGUUAA